AUCACUUCUCAACCAUUUGGCUAAGAUCAAGUGUAGUAUCUAUCUUUAUCAGUUUAAUAUCUGAUGUCUCCUCUAUCUGAGGACAGUAUAUUUAAUGUAUUUUUUGAACAGGGAGAAGAAAUAGGAGCUUGCUCUGUCCCCUUCAUGCCUAGACCUGGUAUUUCAGGACCUCCAGAAACAAUGCCUCCUCC
rnacentral:snRNA from 1 species